rnacentral:misc_RNA from 1 species
GAUGAAGAACGUAGCGAAAUGCGAUAAUUAAUGUGAAUUGCAGAAUUUAGUGAAUCAUCGAAUCUUUGAACGCACAUUGCGCCCCUUGGUAUUCCGGGGGGCAUGCCUGUUCGAGCGUCAUUACAACCCUCAAGCUUUGCUUGGUAUUGGACAUUGCCAGUUUCUGGCAGGUCUUAAAAUCAGUGGCGGUGCCAUUUGGCUUCAAGCGUAGUAAUUCUUCUCGCUUUGGAGAUCCAAGUGGUUACUUGCCAAUAACCCCCAAUUUUUUCAGGUUGACCUCGGAUCAGGUAGGGAUACCCGCUGAACUUAAGCAUAUCAAUAAGCGGAGGA